UCUGGGGAGACCUGGGCUGUCAGAGGCCAGGGAAGGGGACGAGGGUUGGGUAACAGGUGGUUAGCACUUCACCCUCGUCUCCCUCCCAGGUUAGAAGGACCCCCCUCUCUGAAGG
ensembl:miRNA